UGAGGAAUAUUGGACAAUGGGCGCAAGCCUGAUCCAGCAAUGCCGCGUGCAGGAUGAAGGCCUUCGGGUUGUAAACUGCUUUUGUACGGAGCGAAAAGGUCUGCCCUAAUACGGUGGGCUCAUGACGGUACCGUAAGAAUAAGCACCGGCUAACUACGUGCCAGCAGCCGCGGUAAUACGUAGGGUGCGAGCGUUAAUCGGAAUUACUGGGCGUAAAGCGUGCGCAGGCGGUUAUAUAAGACAGAUGUGAAAUCCCCGGGCUCAACCUGGGACCUGCAUUUGUGACUGUAUAGCUAGAGUACGGUAGAGGGGGAUGGAAUUCCGCGUGUAGCAGUGAUAUGCGUAGAUAUGCGGAGGAACACCGAUGGCGAAGGCAAUCCCCUGGACCUGUACUGACGCUCAUGCACGUAAGCGUGGGGAGCAAACA
rnacentral:rRNA from 1 species